UUACUGCUGCAGUUUUCUAGUCGCAGUGCGGCAAAGCAGACGCAUAGAACCAGGCACAAAGCAGCAUAGGGGUUUUUUUUAAUUCUUCUCUUUUUCAUACGAGGGAGAUUUUCCUGGUGUUAGCGUAGGAGCAGACACGCAGCCUGGAUGUGUUGGCUUCAGCCUGGCAGCGUUUUCAGCUGAGCAGGGAACUGCGCGGAGCUCUGUACCCAAACUGCCUCUGCGGAAGAACGCCCUAAGAUGGGGUUUGGUUUUGUUUUUGGUUUUUUUUUUUAAUGCCACGGUGAUAUACCUGCAGCAAUAGGACAAAGGAGAUGGUACUUGUCACUGUCUGUCCGACUGGGGCCUUUGCAGGCGCUGCGUCGCCGAAGCCGUGCCGGCGUUCCCAGGGUCGUAUAGAUUUGGUAAUACAGAUUUGGCUGCGAUUUCUUACAUCACUUAGAGCAAAGCUCAAACGAGAAACCCAGACUCUCUGACCUAAAUCAAUCCCAGUCCUUCUGGAUACAGGGGCAGCAGUCGACUAGCGAUGACACAACCAGCCAUCAAGUGGAGAGUCUCUGGGAUUGCAAUCCGUAUCGGUUGGAGUCUGAGAGAAUGAAACCCUUUCGCUUAUCCAGUCGCUUCUCCUUCUUCUAAUACUACGAUUACAACAACUACUACUUCUGGUUUUCUUGCCUGUAAGAAGCUAUUAAUCGUGCUUCGUCUCUGAGCGUAUAUCUGCGUGGAUUAGUCUGUCUAUAAACACAGCCCUUAUCUGCUCCUGCUGGAAAUCAGGGCACGAAGUCAGCCUGCUUUAACAGUUGUUUCUUUCUGCGUGAUGCUAUGCAACUAGAAUGGGUUACACUGACAACAAAGGAACAAGCACAAAGCACCACUUUCUUUGCUGGACUGUUACAGGAACAUAACUCUUCUUCGAUAUGACGCCCUGGUCUCUUUGCUAGCUUUUUUUUUUUUUUUUAUUCCCUCCUUUCUUUAAUUCAUCUAAUCGAAGAGCCUAACAGACACCAUCGUGGAUGUGGUUUUUAAUGAUUUGGAAAAGACAGCCUGUGGAGACUGCGAUUUGAGACAGCAACACAUUUAGGUUAUUGCCAAUUUGAAAUACUUGGUUUGUGAAGCACAGCCCUAAGGGACGAGCUCAGAAACUGAGAGAGAGAUUGUAGAUAAAGAAAUAAAAAUGACAAGCGUAAUGGAGGCUCUGCAAAAGAGACUGUCAGAGAAUCAGUUCAUGGAUGGCAAUUUCACCAGUCUGAAUCUGAAUAAUUCAUAGAUUGAAAUUACCCUGCUUUCACCUUUCCAUUUAAACCGGCAUGAUCUGAAUCUCUAAUAAAUUUUCAAGAUAAAGUAAAAUGCCAAUUUGAAUCUGAAGAGCUUUUAAAACCAGAUGCUACACCCUGAAUCUUUCGAUACCUUUCACAAUUAUCCUGUGAGAACCGCACUUCAUCACGAAGCACCAUUACCAGUGAAAAUUACUGUGAUUACAAUAGCAACAAUAGAAUACCAUCAAAUGAUCUCUAAUUUACCUAAUUUACCAAGGCUGACUGUGUGCCCAUUGUGUUUCACUACGUCUGGCAUCGGAUCAAUAUCACAGUGGAACAAAAAUGCCUUAGUGUGUGCUUCCUUUUGGUACCUUUGACUUUGACAGCGCAGAAGGGGAAAAAAAAAUUAAAAAAAAAUAAUCUAUCUACCGUUAAAUGUUUUUACAGCCGAUCUCCGUGCCUGCUGUAGGAUCUGAUUGAUUCGCCAUGAUUUUCUGUAGUUCCUGGGUAUCGGAUGUCAUUGUGUUACUGAUGUGUUUAUAAGGUAGAGUCAUGCACAAAGGCUGCAGCAGGCGGGUGCCAGCAGAGAGACCCUGCACUGCUGCAGCAGCAGCGCUCUCGCAGGGGAAGCCAAAACCAGUUCGGUGCCUUAAUGUGAAUAAUUCCUCCUGGCUGAGUUACUAAAUGCUUCCUGGCAUCACCGGGCUCGGUGGUACCGCAUGAAAAAUGUAUGCAAAAAGCCAUGGUCAAGGAAAAAAAAAAACCAAAACAAAAAAACCGAUGGUGUGUAAUACUAACAAGAUUCUUUUCCCCCCCUCACCCCCUCGUUCAGCAAUUAGCGUGUGGUUGUGAGAGACAGGCUGCGGCUCCUGCUGUAGAUGUGUGUAUGUAGGUGCACAUACAUAAAUGUACAGAUACUGUGCUUGGUGAAUGUGUGCCGACCACUGAAAGGCACAACUUUUUUUUUUCCUGACGAGCCAGGCGCAGUGUUUUGCCACAAUCUGCUCCGGUUGUAACAAAAUCCCUCUUUUGGAGGUGUAAAUUUCCUAUAGGAUGAUGCACGGCUGCUGGAACAGUAAGUACCAUUUAAACCAUGUGUUGGUGCCUAUAGCUACGGUACAGAGCGCUAUUUUAAGCAUAGUUUGAGUCCUUGUAGCAUAACUACAACGUGGAGAAGUGAGAAACACAUACAGAAGGCUAGAAACAGGCAUUCUUCAUGGAGACGACUGUAUGUGCUGUCUGUGAGUUGUACACUUCAGGCUUGUUUUUCAUUUUAUAACCAGAUUUACUCUGCCUUCAGGGAAUAGUUUCUAAGGGAGGAAGGGGAUCCCUGUGGAGCUGAUAGCUGUGGACUACUGACUGGCACACUAAACAGGUAACCUGAAGCUUGAGUGGUUCCAGGCGUAUUGGAUCCCACACCCUGGCAGAGGAUUAUUUCUGCGUAUGUUCCGGGACAGCUCAACGCUGAAGCCUUACAAGGAAAAAAAAUCCAAACAUCUUGAUUCUGCAACAAUUAGUUUGGAUCCCUUGAAGGUUUCAAGGAUUUCUUAAAGUCCCUAAGGGGCAAGACAAGCAAACUGAUCAGGAUAAAGCUAGGUUUCAAGUCCUUGCUUGCCUAGACGUAAAGCCUCUUUCACUAAAAUGGAGCAUGGGGGAAGACAAGGAAGUCUUUUAAAACAAGAAUUUCAUUCAUUUGUGCGUUACUGGAAUGAUACUACUGUCUUAAAUGCUCUGAGGAUGAUGGUACUUGUGACCUUCCCAGUAAGUUUUGUCAGGGGGACUGUAUAACCUUGCACUGCCCCAAAACAGAACCGAGCCCUUCCAUCCAUUAAAGCUGUAUUCAACUCAGUGAACACUGUAACGGCUCCUUUAUAACCCUCUACUUGUACUUGAUAGUGGAGGGCACAUUUCAAGGAAAAUGGGGAAAGUUCCUAUGUUUUGCCUACUUACUGCUGUUGUAACAGCUUGAUGUAAAACUGGAUAACAAAAUAGAUGGCCCAGCCCAACAACCCCACUAAUGAUACUGUAAUUAUACCAGGGAUGCAAGUUUGGUUUUCAAUACAUUUCUCCUGGCAUCUCCAAUAUGUGAAUUUAGAAAAAAAAAGUAUUUUUUCAAGUUUUAAUUUCCUCCAGAAGCAUAAAAUAAUUCACUGCCUUUUUCUCUCCUUCAGGUUAGCUCUCAUCGCUGCAGACACAGCUACAAGUACACAACUUCUGGCUGAAGUUUUGUUGCCUGCUGA